CGUGUCCCGAGGAGGUUUGCUCCAGCAAGUGCACGGACUGCAAAGACUGCGACUGCCGCUCCAAGUGCGACAAAUGCAAGGAAAGCUGCGGGUGCGCAACCAAGGAGGCGUGCGCCGGCAACUGCACCUCUCCCUGCAGCUGCUGCCCUAAGUAACACCUACAGCUGUAACACCUGCAGCUGCUGCCCUAAGUAACCCCUGCAGCUGUAACACCUGCAGCUGCUGCCCUAAGUAACACCUGCAUCUGCUGCCCUAAGUAACCCCUGCUCCCAACGCUGCUUCUCGCCCGGACUGAGAGCGACGCAGUGUUGUCCGCGGUCCCGUACCGAAGCCUCGUUCCUUCCCAACCUUUUUGUUAAGUUAGCUUAAUGUGUUGCAUGUGAUACCUAAUUGAAAUAAAGUGUAUUUUCUAUUUAAAA